UUAAGCGACUAAGCGUACACGGUGGAUGCCCUGGCAGUCAGAGGCGAUGAAGGACGUGCUAAUCUGCGAUAAGCGUCGGUAAGGUGAUAUGAACCGUUAUAACCGGCGAUUUCCGAAUGGGGAAACCCAGUGUGAUUCGUCACACUAUCAUUAACUGAAUCCAUAGGUUAAUGAGGCGAACCGGGGGAACUGAAACAUCUAAGUACCCCGAGGAAAAGAAAUCAACCGAGAUUCCCCCAGUAGCGGCGAGCGAACGGGGAGCAGCCCAGAGCCUGAAUCAGUGUGUGUGUUAGUGGAAGCGUCUGGAAAGGCGCGCGAUACAGGGUGACAGCCCCGUACACAAAAAUGCACAUGCUGUGAGCUCGAUGAGUAGGGCGGGACACGUGGUAUCCUGUCUGAAUAUGGGGGGACCAUCCUCCAAGGCUAAAUACUCCUGACUGACCGAUAGUGAACCAGUACCGUGAGGGAAAGGCGAAAAGAACCCCGGCGAGGGGAGUGAAAAAGAACCUGAAACCGUGUACGUACAAGCAGUGGGAGCCUCUUUAUGGGGUGACUGCGUACCUUUUGUAUAAUGGGUCAGCGACUUAUAUUCUGUAGCAAGGUUAACCAAAUAGGGGAGCCGAAGGGAAACCGAGUCUUAACUGGGCGUUAAGUUGCAGGGUAUAGACCCGAAACCCGGUGAUCUAGCCAUGGGCAGGUUGAAGGUUGGGUAACACUAACUGGAGGACCGAACCGACUAAUGUUGAAAAAUUAGCGGAUGACUUGUGGCUGGGGGUGAAAGGCCAAUCAAACCGGGAGAUAGCUGGUUCUCCCCGAAAGCUAUUUAGGUAGCGCCUCGUGAAUUCAUCUCCGGGGGUAGAGCACUGUUUCGGCAAGGGGGUCAUCCCGACUUACCAACCCGAUGCAAACUGCGAAUACCGGAGAAUGUUAUCACGGGAGACACACGGCGGGUGCUAACGUCCGUCGUGAAGAGGGAAACAACCCAGACCGCCAGCUAAGGUCCCAAAGUCAUGGUUAAGUGGGAAACGAUGUGGGAAGGCCCAGACAGCCAGGAUGUUGGCUUAGAAGCAGCCAUCAUUUAAAGAAAGCGUAAUAGCUCACUGGUCGAGUCGGCCUGCGCGGAAGAUGUAACGGGGCUAAACCAUGCACCGAAGCUGCGGCAGCGACGCUUAUGCGUUGUUGGGUAGGGGAGCGUUCUGUAAGCCUGCGAAGGUGUACUGUGAGGUAUGCUGGAGGUAUCAGAAGUGCGAAUGCUGACAUAAGUAACGAUAAAGCGGGUGAAAAGCCCGCUCGCCGGAAGACCAAGGGUUCCUGUCCAACGUUAAUCGGGGCAGGGUGAGUCGACCCCUAAGGCGAGGCCGAAAGGCGUAGUCGAUGGGAAACAGGUUAAUAUUCCUGUACUUGGUGUUACUGCGAAGGGGGGACGGAGAAGGCUAUGUUGGCCGGGCGACGGUUGUCCCGGUUUAAGCGUGUAGGCUGGUUUUCCAGGCAAAUCCGGAAAAUCAAGGCUGAGGCGUGAUGACGAGGCACUACGGUGCUGAAGCAACAAAUGCCCUGCUUCCAGGAAAAGCCUCUAAGCAUCAGGUAACAUCAAAUCGUACCCCAAACCGACACAGGUGGUCAGGUAGAGAAUACCAAGGCGCUUGAGAGAACUCGGGUGAAGGAACUAGGCAAAAUGGUGCCGUAACUUCGGGAGAAGGCACGCUGAUAUGUAGGUGAAGCGACUUGCUCGUGGAGCUGAAAUCAGUCGAAGAUACCAGCUGGCUGCAACUGUUUAUUAAAAACACAGCACUGUGCAAACACGAAAGUGGACGUAUACGGUGUGACGCCUGCCCGGUGCCGGAAGGUUAAUUGAUGGGGUUAGCGGCAACGCGAAGCUCUUGAUCGAAGCCCCGGUAAACGGCGGCCGUAACUAUAACGGUCCUAAGGUAGCGAAAUUCCUUGUCGGGUAAGUUCCGACCUGCACGAAUGGCGUAAUGAUGGCCAGGCUGUCUCCACCCGAGACUCAGUGAAAUUGAACUCGCUGUGAAGAUGCAGUGUACCCGCGGCAAGACGGAAAGACCCCGUGAACCUUUACUAUAGCUUGACACUGAACAUUGAGCCUUGAUGUGUAGGAUAGGUGGGAGGCUUUGAAGUGUGGACGCCAGUCUGCAUGGAGCCGACCUUGAAAUACCACCCUUUAAUGUUUGAUGUUCUAACGUUGGCCCCUUAUCGGGGUUGCGGACAGUGUCUGGUGGGUAGUUUGACUGGGGCGGUCUCCUCCUAAAGAGUAACGGAGGAGCACGAAGGUUGGCUAAUCCUGGUCGGACAUCAGGAGGUUAGUGCAAUGGCAUAAGCCAGCUUGACUGCGAGCGUGACGGCGCGAGCAGGUGCGAAAGCAGGUCAUAGUGAUCCGGUGGUUCUGAAUGGAAGGGCCAUCGCUCAACGGAUAAAAGGUACUCCGGGGAUAACAGGCUGAUACCGCCCAAGAGUUCAUAUCGACGGCGGUGUUUGGCACCUCGAUGUCGGCUCAUCACAUCCUGGGGCUGAAGUAGGUCCCAAGGGUAUGGCUGUUCGCCAUUUAAAGUGGUACGCGAGCUGGGUUUAGAACGUCGUGAGACAGUUCGGUCCCUAUCUGCCGUGGGCGCUGGAGAACUGAGGGGGGCUGCUCCUAGUACGAGAGGACCGGAGUGGACGCAUCACUGGUGUUCGGGUUGUCAUGCCAAUGGCACUGCCCGGUAGCUAAAUGCGGAAGAGAUAAGUGCUGAAAGCAUCUAAGCACGAAACUUGCCCCGAGAUGAGUUCUCCCUGACCCUUUAAGGGUCCUGAAGGAACGUUGAAGACGACGACGUUGAUAGGCCGGGUGUGUAAGCGCAGCGAUGCGUUGAGCUAACCGGUACUAAUGAACCGUGAGGCUUAACCUU
rnacentral:rRNA from 1 species